rnacentral:lncRNA from 10 species
UGAGAUGGAGUCUCGCUCUGUCACCCAGGCUGGCGUGCAGUGGUACCACUGAUACAGGAGUGCUGGGAAGGGAAGAAGGGGGUAGGGGAAGUGCUCCGUAGAGGAGGGCGUGGUCCCUGGCUAGGGCUUCACCCCCAGGGACCUAGAUGAGAACAGCCAUUUCCUGCCAAAUGUUGCAUUUCCCAAGACCACCCUGGCUUGCCACACCCCCCGUCCUGGGCAUAUAAAAGCCCGAGACCCUAGCGGGCAGACACCCAGGCAGCCAAACGUCGAGAGGAGCACUUCAGCGGAAAAAGAUACAAGCAGCUGCUCACGGAGAGGAUGUUGAGAGGAGCACACCAGCAGAAGAGCACACGGCAGGCACAGGCACCUGGCAGGACGAGGCUGAGUUUGGCCAGGGCAGUUAGUCGGAGGAAAGCUGUGGCCGCUGAGCAGCCCAACUCCAUGGGAAAAACCAUGGUGCCCUUCUGGCUCCUCCAUCGGCUGAGAGCUACUUCCACUCAAUAAAACUUUGCACUCAUUCUCCAAGCCCACGUGUGAUCUGAUUUCUCUGGUACACAAAGGCAAGAACCUGGGAUACAGAAAUCCCUCUGUCCUCGCAACAAGGUAGAGGGUGAAUUGAGCUGGUUAACACAAACCGCCUAUAGAUGGCAAACUAAGAGAGCACCUGGUAACAUAUGCCCACUGGGGCUUCAGCUGUAAAUUCACCUAUAGACACCGCCAUCGGGUGGGAGCCCGACAACCUGCCUGCCUGUAUGCUCCCCUAGAGGUUUGAGCAGCAGGGCACUGAAAAAGCGAGCCACAUCCCCCUGUUGCAUGCCCUGCGAGGGGGACAAGGUAAUUUUUCCCGUUUCACCUUCUUGGCUCACUGCAACCUCUGCCUCCUGGAUUCAAGCAGUUCUCCUGCCUCAGCCUCCCAAGUAGCUGAGAUUACAGGCAUGUGCCACCACACCUGGCAAAUUUUUGUAUUUUUAGCGGAGAUGGGGUUUUACUGCAUUGGCCAGGCUAGUCUCGAACUCCUGACCUCAAGUGACCUACCCACCUCGGCCUCCCAAAGUGCUGCUUUAAAGUUUUGAAACUACUGGACUAAAUCAGAGGUUCUCAACCAGAGGCAGUUUUGCCUCAUUCCCCUUGGGGACAUACGCUAGUGUCUGGAGAUAUUCUUGAUUGUCACAACUGUAGGAGGGUGCUACUGGCAUCUAGUGAGUGGAGGCCAGAGAUGCUGCAAAACAUCCUACAAUGCACAGGUCAGCUCCUUACAGCAAAGAAUUAUCCAGUCCUAAAUGUCAAUAGUGCCAAGGUUGAGACAACCUGGAUUGGAUAUUUCCCGGCUCCCACCCUUGUUCUCCUUAAGAACUUUGGUUCCUGCUUGCUUCUCUGACUAUUCCUACUUGAGACAAGAAGAAUGCAGCAUUUGAGUUCUUGCCUUGGACCAAAUCUGGGCACCAACCAGCUUGGCCGCUGCCCCAGCUGGGCUGGCUCCAGGCCCACCAGGAAGGGCACGUGGAUGGUCUCAUGCUUCCCCACUUCCCUUUAAUGCUUUGUUAACAUUUGAAUUACAACACUCACUACAGAAACUACAGCAAGUUGUAAACAUGUCCCCCCACCCCAAGGGGCCAGGGCCAUACUUUAUUCAUCUCUGUUUUUUCCACAGCACCAAGCUCUGUGCAGUUGAACUGGGUCAUGGAUGUAGAGAAUAUAAAUGCCCGUUAAAGCAAGAGCUCUUGUGUUUCUGUUCCUGUGGAGUGCAGCUGAAAUGACCGCUACUGCUCCUUCACAGUAUAUUUACAUGAGCUUCCUGUGGACAUCAGCACCAUUUAAAAUUAAGGGCCUCAUUCUCUCAUCCAGGCUGGACUGCAGUGGCGUGAUCUCAGCUCACUGCAACUUCUGCCUCCCGAGCUCAAGUGAUCCUUCCACCUCGGCCUCCCCAGUACCCAAGACUACAGGCACACACCACCACGCCUGGCUAAUUUUUGUAUUUUUUGUAGAGAUGGGGUUGCAUCAUGUUGCCCAGGCUGGUCUUGAACUCCUAAGCUCAAGCAGUCUGCCCUGCCUUGGCCUCCCAAAGUGCUGGGAUUACAGGUGUGAGCCACUGUGCCCGGCCAAAGUUAUAAGUGGAUUUUUGACUGCACGGGGGUUUGGCAUCCGUAUUGUUUAGGAGUCAACUGUAUAUUCUUACUUUGCCCAUGUCUGAGUAGGAAAAAGGAAGGGAGGUUAAUUGAUUGCUUGUGUUAGAUGAAAUACGCGUGAAUCCUUUAUGAGAUUUAUAAGAACAUCAACAAACAGUAACUUGGGCAAAGAAUUCCAAAGACAUUUCUUUAGUCCUCUUUCAAUAAGCACAUUUUCUGACAUUAGGUAGUAAUAAAAGACAGUGCUCAUAUCGAGGCUUACUACAUGCUUUUGGAAUUGCAGGAUUUUGUUAUUUAAAUUUAGACUGUGAUUCUCUGAGUAACUGUAUAUAUUGCUUUACCCCAAAUCCACUCAAAUCCUCUGAGCAGCAGUCCUUCGGGUCUAAGUGCCACCUUCACGAGACACCCCGCACACAGGUGCCGCCAGCAGUGUGGCUGACCCUGCUAGCUCUCCACCCACGGUCCACUCUCCACUUCAACCUUAUUAACAGAAACUUGAUUGCUUCCAAAUGGCAAUCAACUCAGCCAAAGAUCUACAUUUCCCAGGCUCCCAUGUAGCAAGGGACAGCUAUGUCAUACAGUUCUGCCCGAUGAGAUAAAACCAGACAUAUUCUAGGGACCUCUGAGAAAAUUCUGCUUUCCUGAUUUCUGCUGCCCCUUCUUCCUUGAAGUUUCAUUUCACUUCUUCUAGGCUGGAACACAGAUGUGGGGCUGGAAGUGGAGCAGCCCCUUUUAGCCAUGAGGCCCAAAGCCACAUGCUAAGGAUGGUGAAGCAGGGGAUAGAAAGAGCCUGUGUCUUUGCUGACUUCCUUAAGCCACGGCACCAGCCUGGGCCUGCCCUACUCUGGACAUCUAAAUGUCAGGAGCUAAGAAUCAAGUCAGUCUAGAGGUGUUCGUUGCCAUGUGGAGAGAUCCUUCCCAAGAAGAAAGAUGCUACAAAGUGUCCUGGAAAUCCUCUUUGCCCAUCCAGAUCCACCCUCCCUAGCCUGCUCUGUACCUCAGGAAGCUGCUUUUCAUGGUUCACAUAAACCAGGCUCCUGUACCCUCCAGAUAGGUCCAUCCUAUGGGUGGUACCAGCAGGAGACCAGAGAGAUGAAGGAGGGAAAAAAAGAACAUUAGGGGUUGAAUUGUAUCACCCCAAAAUUCAUAUGGUGAAGUAUAACCCCUUCGGAAUGUAACCUUAUUGGAAAUGUCAGAGGCACGUGAACCAGAGCAACUCCAUCUUGAAUAGGGGCUGGGUAAAAUGAGGCUGAGACCUAUUGGGCUGCAUUCCCAGACGGUUAAGGCAUUCCAAGUCACAGGAUGAGAUAGGAGGUUGGCACAACAUAUAGGUCAUAAAGACCUUGCUGAUGAAACAGUUGCAGUAAAGAAGCCAGUCAAAGCGCACCAAAACCAAGAUGGCGACAAGAGUGACCUCUGGGCAUCCUCACUGCUACACUCCCAGCAGCACCAUGACAGUUUACAAAUGCCAUGGCAACAUCAGAAAGUUACCCUAGAUCAUCUAAACAUGGGAGGCAUGAAUAAUCCACCCCUUGCUUAGCAUAUACUCAAGAAAUAACCAUAAAAAUGGGCAGCCAGCAGCCCUCGGGGCUGCUCUGUUUAUGGAGUAGGCAUUCUUUUAUUCCUGCACUUUCCUAAUAAACUUGCUUUCACUUUACGGACUUGCCCUGAAUUUUUUCUUGCACAAGAUCCAAGAACUCUCUUGGGGUCUGGAUCAGGACCCCUUUCCCAUAACAUACCCUCCAGAUCAGUCCAGCUAACGAGAGACCAGCAGGAGAUCAGAG